GAAGAAGAAGAAGAGAAAGAAGAAGAAGAAGAAGAAGAAGAAGAAGAAGAAGAAGAAGAAGAAGAAGAAGAAGAAAAGAAGAAGAAGAAGAAGUUGUCAAAGUUUCAUAGUUAGGCCAAUUGUGAGACCAUGAUUUUCAAAGAUCAAAGUAAGGCAAUACGGCGGAUAAAGAAAGCGCACACAUUAGUACGGCGGAUAAAGAAAGAGCACACAUGAGGGAUGACGUCAUGGACCUUUGUUCUGUCCAUCCUAUCCUUAACCCGGAGGGUUUGAGGCUAAAGCUCAUAUGAGGCCCUGAAGAAGAAAAAGAAGGAGUGGGUUGAGGCUAAAGCCUCAUAUGAGGCCGUUGAAGAAGAAGAAGGAAGUGGGGUUGAAGAAGAAGAAGCUCAUAUGAGAAGAAGAAGAAGAAGAAGAAGAAGAAGAAGAAGAAGAAGAAAGAAGUUGUCAAAGUUUCAUAGUUAGGGCAAUUGUGAGACCAUUAUUUUCAAAAGAUCAAAGUAAGGCAGUACGGAAUAAAAGUACACGGAUUAGAAAGAGCGGAUAAAGACGUCAACAACACAGGGCGAUGAAAGAUGGAUUUGUCUUUCAUCCUAUGUUUUAACCGUGAGGGAAGAAGAAAAAGAAGAAGAAGAGAAGAAGAAGAAGAAGAAGAAAAGAAGAAGAAGAAGAAGAAGAAGAAGAAGAAGAAGAAGAAGAAGAAGAAGAAGAAGAAGAAGAAGAAGAAGAAGAAGAAGAUAAGAUCAAAGUUUCAUAGUUAGGGCAAUUGUGAGACCAUUAUUUUCAAAGAUCAAAGUAAGGCAGUACGGCGGAUAAAGAAAGCGCACACAUUAGUACGGCGGAUAAAGAAAGAGCACACAUGAGGGAUGACGUCAUGGACCUUUGUUCUGUCCAUCCUAUCCUUAACCCGGAGUGGGUUGAGGCUAAAGCUCAUAUGAGGCCGCUGAAGAAGAAAAAGAAAGGAAUGGGUUGAGGCUAAAGCUCAUAUGAGGCCGUUGAAGAAGAAGAAGAAGAAGAAGAAGCUCAUAUGAGGCCGUUGAAGAAGAAGAAGAAGAAGAAGAAGAAGAACUUGUCAAAGUUUCAUAGUUAGGGCAAUUGUGAGACCAUGAUUUUCAAAGAUCAAAGUAAGGCGAAUCGGAAUACAAAUACCUUAGAAGUCCAGUUAUAGACUCAACAACUUCCUAGUGGAGAUGGAAAGACGGAUUAACGAUGCCACCAUCAUCUUGUUUUAGAGCAGUGGGCG
rnacentral:lncRNA from 1 species